UUGCUCUUCAACGAGGAAUCCCUAGUAAGCGCAAGUCAUCAGCUUGCGUUGAUUACGUCCCUGCCCUUUGUACACACCGCCCGUCGCUACUACCGAUUGAAUGGCUCAGUGAGGCUUUCGGACUGGCCCAGAGAGGUGGGCAACUACCACUCAGGGCCGGAAAGUUAUCCAAACUCGGUCAUUUAGAGGAAGUAAAAGUCGUAACAAGGUCUCCGUUGGUGAACCAGCGGAGGGAUCAUUACUGAGUUACCGCUCAUCAACCCUUUGUGAACAUACCUUAACUGUUGCUUCGGCGGGUAGGCGUCCCCUAAAAAGGACGUCUCCCGGCCCUCUCCCGUCCGCGGGUGGGGCGCCCGCCGGAGGAUAACCAAACUCUGAUUUAACGACGUUUCUUCUGGGUGACACAAGCAAAUAAUCAAAACUUUUAACAACGGAUCUCUUGGUUCUGGCAUCGAUGAAGAACGCAGCGAAAUGCGAUAAGUAAUGUGAAUUGCAGAAUUCAGUGAAUCAUCGAAUCUUUGAACGCACAUUGCGCCCCUUGGUAUUCCGGGGGGCAUGCCUGUUCGAGCGUCAUUUCAACCCUCAAGCUCUGCUUGGUAUUGGGCUCCGUCCUCCUCGGACGCGCCUCAAAGACCUCGGCGGUGGCGUCUUGCCUCAAGCGUAGUAGAAAACACCUCGCUUUGGAGCGCACGGCGCCGCCCGCCGGACGAACCUUUGAAUUUUUUCUCAAGGUUGACCUCGGAUCAGGUAGGGAUACCCGCUGAACUUAAGCAUAUCAAUAAGCGGAGGA
rnacentral:rRNA from 1 species